AAGCCAGGUUGGUUUCUAUCUUUUUAAAAAAUAAAUAUUUUAGUACGAAAGGAUCAAAUAUUUUAAUUAUAUUAAUUUUAAGAGAAUAUUAUUAAUUUAAAGUUAAAUAUUUAAUUUAAUAAAAAGUGAAUAGUUUAAUUAAUUUGUUAAUUAA
rnacentral:rRNA from 1 species